AUUACAAAAAAAUUAAUAAAUAUGCUGUUACGAAAGAAAGUGAGCUAAAUAAGUAUAUAAGUGUACUACAUACGUUGCAUAGUAUGUAUAAAAUACGUAUUUAGGGGUGAUAGGCUUUUCAAACGUUCUUAUAACUUGUUUCAUAGGAAAAGUAUUAAGUACCUAAACAGAUUUAAAAAGUUAAGCUUUUAAAUAAUUAUUAAAAAUAGUAAUUCCCUGUAGUGCAGUGUAGUAGCUGUCUACAUGAUAAUUUAAUAUUAAGUAUUAUAAUUUAUAUUUUAUACUAUGACAAUAAAAUUUCGCAAUUAUUUGAUAAUGUUAUUAUUAGUAAUUUAAUAUAUAUGCUAAAGGAACUCGGCAAAAUAACCGCUCAACUGUUUAUCAAAAACAUAGCUAUAUGAUUUAAUAUAUAGUUAUUUCUGCUCAAUGAUUUUAAAUAGCCGCAGUACUCUGACUGUGCAAAGGUAGCAUAAUCAGUUGGCUUUUAAUUUGAGUCUGGUAUGAAUGAAAAUAUGGGUAGUAACUGUCUUAGCAUAUUACUUGAACUUAUUAAACAAGUGCAAAUACUUGUAGUUAAAAAAUAGACGAGAAGACCCUAGAAACUUGGACUGGUUUUUGUUGGGGCGACAGAAUUACAUGAAACUAAUUUUAUAAGACAUGACACGAAGUCGAGAGAAUAAGUUACUCUAGGGAUAACAGCAUAAUUUUAUUAGCUUGUGACCUCGAUGUUGGACUAGGUACUAUACCCUUAAGACAAGGAUAUAUUUUGCUCUGUUCGAGCAUAAAUACCUACAUGAUCUGAGUUCAGACCGG
rnacentral:rRNA from 1 species